rnacentral:rRNA from 1 species
UGUGAGCUCGAUGAGUAGGGCGGGACACGUGGUAUCCUGUCUGAAUAUGGGGGGACCAUCCUCCAAGGCUAAAUACUCCUGACUGACCGAUAGUGAACCAGUACCGUGAGGGAAAGGCGAAAAGAACCCCGGCGAGGGGAGUGAAAAAGAACCUGAAACCGUGUACGUACAAGCAGUGGGAGCACGCUUAGGCGUGUGACUGCGUACCUUUUGUAUAAUGGGUCAGCGACUUAUAUUCUGUAGCAAGGUUAACCGAAUAGGGGAGCCGAAGGGAAACCGAGUCUUAACUGGGCGUUAAGUUGCAGGGUAUAGACCCGAAACCCGGUGAUCUAGCCAUGGGCAGGUUGAAGGUUGGGUAACACUAACUGGAGGACCGAACCGACUAAUGUUGAAAAAUUAGCGGAUGACUUGUGGCUGGGGGUGAAAGGCCAAUCAAACCGGGAGAUAGCUGGUUCUCCCCGAAAGCUAUUUAGGUAGCGCCUCGUGAAUUCAUCUCCGGGGGUAGAGCACUGUUUCGGCAAGGGGGUCAUCCCGACUUACCAACCCGAUGCAAACUGCGAAUACCGGAGAAUGUUAUCACGGGAGACACACGGCGGGUGCUAACGUCCGUCGUGAAGAGGGAAACAACCCAGACCGCCAGCUAAGGUCCCAAAGUCAUGGUUAAGUGGGAAACGAUGUGGGAAGGCCCAGACAGCCAGGAUGUUGGCUUAGAAGCAGCCAUCAUUUAAAGAAAGCGUAAUAGCUCACUGGUCGAGUCGGCCUGCGCGGAAGAUGUAACGGGGCUAAACCAUGCACCGAAGCUGCGGCAGCGACGCUUAUGCGUUGUUGGGUAGGGGAGCGUUCUGUAAGCCUGUGAAGGUGU